UGCAGGGCAAUCACUAGACACAUCUGGU
rnacentral:piRNA from 1 species